rnacentral:rRNA from 1 species
ACGCUGCGGCAGGCCUACACAUGCAAGUCGAGCGGCAGCGGGAAAGUAGCUUGCUACUUUUGCCGGCGAGCGGCGGACGGGUGAGUAAUGCCUGGGAAAUUGCCCAGUCGAGGGGGAUAACAGUUGGAAACGACUGCUAAUACCGCAUACGCCCUACGGGGGAAAGCAGGGGACCUUCGGGCCUUGCGCGAUUGGAUAUGCCCAGGUGGGAUUAGCUAGUUGGUGAGGUAAUGGCUCACCAAGGCGACGAUCCCUAGCUGGUCUGAGAGGAUGAUCAGCCACACUGGAACUGAGACACGGUCCAGACUCCUACGGGAGGCAGCAGUGGGGAAUAUUGCACAAUGGGGGAAACCCUGAUGCAGCCAUGCCGCGUGUGUGAAGAAGGCCUUCGGGUUGUAAAGCACUUUCAGCGAGGAGGAAAGGUCAGUAGCUAAUACCUGCUGGCUGUGACGUUACUCGCAGAAGAAGCACCGGCUAACUCCGUGCCAGCAGCCGCGGUAAU